GGAGGAACCGACAAAGUGGCUGCGAUGUGUUCUCUUCCUCCUCCGAUAUGCGUCGCACCAUAUCACAGCCCGCUUUGUUGACUCUGCCGUGCAAUACUCUC
rnacentral:pre_miRNA from 1 species